rnacentral:rRNA from 1 species
ACAGCAGCCGCCGCGGUAAUACGUAGGUCCCGAGCGUUGUCCGGAUUUAUUGGGCGUAAAGCGAGCGCAGGCGGUUAGAUAAGUCUGAAGUUAAAGGCUGUGGCUUAACCAUAGUACGCUUUGGAAACUGUUUAACUUGAGUGCAAGAGGGGAGAGUGGAAUUCCAUGUGUAGCGGUGAAAUGCGUAGAUAUAUGGAGGAACACCGGUGGCGAAAGCGGCUCUCUGGCUUGUAACUGACGCUGAGGCUCGAAAGCGUGGGGCGCAAACAGGAUUAGAUACCCCGGUAGUCCCUGUCUCUUAUACA